AGAGUUUGAUCCUGGCUCAUGACGAACGCUGGCGGCGUGCCUAAUACAUGCAAGUCGAGCGGACCAACGAGGAGCUUGCUCCUCAGAGGUCAGCGGCGGACGGGUGAGUAACACGUGGGCAACCUGCCUGUAAGACUGGGAUAACUCCGGGAAACCGGGGCUAAUACCGGAUAACAUCUUCCUCUGCAUAGAGGAGGAUUGAAAGAUGGCUUCUCGCUAUCACUUACAGAUGGGCCCGCGGCGCAUUAGCUAGUUGGUGAGGUAAGGGCUCACCAAGGCGACGAUGCGUAGCCGACCUGAGAGGGUGAUCGGUCACACUGGGACUGAGACACGGCCCAGACUCCUACGGGAGGCAGCAGUAGGGAAUCUUCGGCAAUGGACGAAAGUCUGACCGAGCAACGCCGCGUGAGUGAGGAAGGCCUUCGGGUCGUAAAGCUCUGUUGUUAGGGAAGAGCAAGUACCGUUCGAACAGGGCGGUACCUUGACGGUACCCAACCAGAAAGCCACGGCUAACUACGUGCCAGCAGCCGCGGUAAUACGUAGGUGGCAAACGUUAUCCGGAUUUACUGGGCGUAAAGCGCGUGUAGGUGGUUUGGUAAGUAGGGCGUGAAAGCUCCUGGCUCAACUGGGAGAGGACGUUCUAAACUGCCAAGCUUGAGGAUGGUAGAGGGAGGUGGAAUUCCGGGUGUAGCGGUGGAAUGCGCAGAUAUCCGGAGGAACACCAGUGGCGAAGCGGCCUCCUGGACCACUCCUGGCACUCAGACGCGAAAGCUAGGGUAGCAAACGGGAUUAGAGACCCCGGUAGUCCUAGCCCUAAACGAUGUAGA
rnacentral:rRNA from 1 species